rnacentral:rRNA from 1 species
GACGAACGCUGGCGGCGUGCUUAACACAUGCAAGUCGAACGAAGAGCGAUGGAAGCUUGCUUCUAUCAAUCUUAGUGGCGAACGGGUGAGUAACGCGUAAUCAACCUGCCCUUCAGAGGGGGACAACAGUUGGAAACGACUGCUAAUACCGCAUACGAUCUAAUCUCGGCAUCGAGGAUAGAUGAAAGGUGGCCUCUACAUGUAAGCUAUCACUGAAGGAGGGGAUUGCGUCUGAUUAGCUAGUUGGGGGGGUAACGGCCCACCAAGGCGAUGAUCAGUAGCCGGUCUGAGAGGAUGAACGGCCACAUUGGGACUGAGACACGGCCCAGACUCCUACGGGAGGCAGCAGUGGGGAAUCUUCCGCAAUGGACGAAAGUCUGACGGAGCAACGCCGCGUGAGUGAUGACGGCCUUCGGGUUGUAAAGCUCUGUUAAUCGGGACGAAAGGCCUUCUUGCGAAUAGUGAGAAGGAUUGACGGUACCGGAAUAGAAAGCCACGGCUAACUACGUG